ensembl:lncRNA
CCCCAGGCAGUAAAACUAUCCAUCUCAGCCAAAUGACAGCUCAGUUAAUUGCCCAUAACUGACUGUCCUGGACAUUUUGUUAUUUUUAUAAAUAAAAUCACUAUUAAAAUUUGCAAUAUGUGCUGUGUUUUCUCCGAUGGCUGUCCUUGUGGAGCAUCCGUAGCAAGAAUAGUGAGAAUGUUCUUCAGAAAUUCUCCUUUUGUGUUUCACAGAAGAAACAAUCGGGUUUGGAAUGACAUGAGGAUGAGUAUAUGAGACAGAAUAUUAAUUUUUGGGUGACCUAUUCGUGAACCUAAAUUUAAUCUCAAUCAAAUCUGAAAUGAACUUGUAAUGGAGGCCAAAUCCAGCGUUUCCUCAGAGGCUGGAGUGUGUGACAGCAGCUACAGAGGACACGCUGUGAAACUCAGGCGAUGACAGGCACAGAUCACCUCUAAAAAUACCCUUCACUCAGGAAACGGCACAUCACAAACGCGUACACCAUCAGGGAACAUCCGUGGCCCAAUUUGACACCAUCUCUGUUUACCGUUCACCACCACAUCCUGGAGUCCUGUAAAAUGCAAGUUGUAAACAUUUAGGUCUUUUUUGUUUUACAUGUCGCUGUUUGUUGAAACGUGAUUUGACUAAACCUGCUCGUCUGACUCCUGUGUUUCAUUAAUGGCAUCAGCUCAGGGUGUGUUUCUCGUCUGUGAGGAUCUCUGCAUGGAUGGACCUGCGGGUUUGAUCUGCAUGGAUCAGCCACAUACUGUUUGACAUCAUGUGACACCUGCUGAACACUGACACACUGAAACAGACAGCACAGUUUUUCUUGAUGUUAGCUGUUGGGACGGCUUUGAUAGAGGAAGGGUGGGCUGUCACUGGGAGUUUGGAGUGUGUUCGGUGACGAGGAACAUAACAAAGUUAUUUCUAUAGACAGGACAGUGAAGAGAAUGCCUGAGGAGCGAACACGCAUGUACACACACGCACAAGCAGAGAGUUGCCGAGUGCUGCGGGGACUGAUGUCCCCAGACGCUCCACAUGGACACAGUAAGGAAGAGGUCAUGGCUAUAUUCAGCAAGGUCAUCAAAGAGCCUGGAGAAUCAAAGCAGGGGGAAGAACAAAACCCACCACACACAGAUCAGAGGGCUGUGUUCUCCAGGACAGAGAGGGGUCUUCUGGGUACUGGCAGUCCUGACAAGCAUAAAAUUGUGUUAUGUACAGUUAUUUGCCUAGGCUGUUGUUUAUACUGAGAAAAAACACUCUUAUAUGUUUUCAGUGGUGUUUACUCAUACUAAAAUACUCUGACAGUGUCAUUCAGCAGUGACAUGACACCGCUUCUAAAUCAACAGCAUGAAAUAGAGAGCAUAGUGUAGUUUGAUUCCUGAAUGAACAACUCUGGUUCUUAAUGAAUCAAAAAAUUGUAGUGUGACCAGUAUAGUCUGAUUCCAAAUGAAUAUAUCUUUAGAGACUGUUUUUAAAUCAAAAAUAUACAGUGCGACCUGUCUAGUCCUGAUCCUGAAUGAAAUGACUCUUAUGAGUUGACUCGUUUUAGUGAAUCACAUACUUAGAAUCCAGCCAGUACAGUUCAAUUCCCGAACAAAUCCCUCUUAUGAACCAGUACUUUUUAGCGAUUUAAAAAGAUGCAGCACAGCUAGUCCAAUUCUGAAAAAAAUCCAUCUUUUUUGAGCCUGUUUUGUGAAUCAGAAAUAUACAGCACAAAAGCAGUAUAGUCUGGAACCCGAAUGAAAUGACUCUUAUGGGUUUAGUGAAUCAUGUACUUAUAGCACCACCAGUGUAGUUUUAAUUUAUGAAUCACUCUUAUGAACUGGUUCGUUUUAGUGAUGCUGCAAAGUCCGACUCCCAAACGAACAACUCUUAUGAUUCAAUUCUUUUUAAUGAAUCAAACACAUUUAGCAUGGCCAGUGUAAUUAAAUUUUGAAGGAACCAGUCUUCUGAGCCAGUUUUGUAAAUCACAAAUAAACAGUGUGACCAGUGUAGACCA